CUCUAACAACUUUUAAUUUCUAAUUUAAUCAUAAUUAUUAGUAUCAAAAUUUGCAGUAUUCAGAACUGCUAAUAAGCCAUUUUUUUCUGCCAACUUUGGAUAGUAUUAAUAAUUAUCCAGUAUUGGCAGAUAUUUCUAAGAUACAAGAAUCACGUCUAAGAGAAUCCAAAAAAAACUUAUUCAUAAAAAAAUAUACACGUACAAGCUAUACCCACCAGACAUCAGUUUGGGUCUUAAAAUACGAUCCGUUAUAAAGAUAUAAUAUAUAGAACAAGGAAUGAGAAAAAAAUGUUCAAUAUUUUAUUUUCCAAUCAUAAAUACUAUUUAUAAUACAAUAUUUAUUCAAGAGAGACUUUUGCGUCGAGUAUUAUUACAUUCUGAAGACGAAGUAAUAAAAAGUUUCAAUAAUAACAAA